ensembl:lncRNA
AUGCUCCUCUUUCACUUCUUGUUAAAGCUCUCUUUGUGGGCUUUGUCCGGUUUGCGGAGCUGCAAAAUGAUCUCUGCGCCUGUGUUUGCAGAUGUGUGCCUGCAGCCUGUUCUGGCAGCAGGGUACAUCCUCCACCUCCAGGGAGACCUCCCUGCAGCCUGCCAGUACUUCAAGGGGUGUUAUGACAAAGAGGGAGAGCGACUUCUUACAUGGAUAGAUAGUGACAGGACUAGGUGGAAAGGCUUUAAAAUAAAAUGGGAGAGAAUUAGUUAGAUGUUAAGAUUUUUAUUUUUUUUUUUAACUCAGAGGGCAGUGAGACACUAGAACAGAUUGCCCAGAGAAGCUGGAGAUGCCCCAUCCCUGGCAGUGCUCAAGGCCAGGUUGGAUGGGGCCCUGAGUAAUCUGGUCUCAUGAAAGGCAUCCCUGUCCAGAGCUAGGCGAUCUUUAAGGCUGGUUCCAGCCCAAACCAUUCCAUGUUUCUGUGACUCUCUGCUAGAAACAGCACUUGAUAGGGGAAGGGGUAAUAGCCCUUAUCACACACAAGAGUCAAGGGACAGAAAUUGUCCUCUGUAAACUGCCCUCUUCUUUGCAUUCUGACUCAUGCUCUGGCUGACCCAAAAUCAUCAGAAGGAAGACCCUGACAGUUCUCAUCUCAUGGUGCACUGUAGUAAAAGCUGUCUUGCUCACAGUUUAUCUCUAUCUCUUCUGUGAUAUAAAGGUGCAAUUCUGAAAUUUAUGCUUGCUAAUGCUUCUGCCUUGUGUCUGAUGGAAGCAAGGAUAUAGUACAUUUCCUUCUUUCUAAGUUAUAAGCACACACUUGAGUGAAAAGUGAUGUAGCAGGGAAGGUUUUAUUGCUUUCCAUAACUUUGUUUUUCAUAUUUCCAGAGUAAUUUUAUUAUUUUAGAGGAAGUGUGGGUGUUCCUGGAAUUUCAUUGAGGGUCAAUAACAAUUUCAUCCGCAUAAGGACACUUGUAAAACCUCAGUGUUGGCAGAUGAAGCAAUGCUGGGUGAACAAUUGGUCUUGUUAGCACAUUUUGUGCUUCUCUGGGAUAUGGAGGGUUCAAACAGCCACAGCAUGUCCAUCUCUCCAAACGCCUUGGUUAGCAAAUGCCUUAGGCUUGAUUUAGAUUUGUGUGAGGAGCAGUUAUCCUGCACAGUGAUAACUCCAAGGUGAAACCAACUUUUUGGCAGUUCUGGUGGUGGGACAGUGCUGCCAGUGAAAGGUCCACAGUAGUCCAUGUGAGUAGCUCUGGGAUGAGGGUCUCAUUGAACUGGGGGGGCCAUGACCCAGUCAGGCCCUGGAAGCAGGAAGAAUCUUUCUGUCUUUCUUGAAGCCCAGAAGCAGCACUCUUUUAAUCUCAAACUUCUGACAUCAAAGCUCUGAACAUUUCUUUCAGAGAAUUGUCCAAAAUCUUUUAGUUCCACAAUUCAACAACUUCUCUCAGACCCCAGAAUUUAUAUCUUCCUUUAUCAAAGGAACAGAGAUUUAGCUGAUGUGGCCAAAAAGCUGUCCUUUCUGUUCCCCUUUUAAUCUUUUGUCACCUUUAGGUUACAUGAUAAAAUUUAUUUUGAUCCUCUUAUUCUUUUGACCUCAGUUUUCAACCAAGAAACCCAUUAAAAUAAAAAACCAAUGUAGAUAUCUAAGUCA